rnacentral:rRNA from 1 species
UGGGGAAUUUUGGACAAUGGGGGAAACCCUGAUCCAGCCAUCCCGCGUGUGCGAUGAAGGCCUUCGGGUUGUAAAGCACUUUUGGCAGGAAAGAAACGUCGCGGGUUAAUACCCCGCGAAACUGACGGUACCUGCAGAAUAAGCACCGGCUAACUACGUGCCAGCAGCCGCGGUAAUACGUAGGGUGCAAGCGUUAAUCGGAAUUACUGGGCGUAAAGCGUGCGCAGGCGGUUCGGAAAGAAAGAUGUGAAAUCCCAGAGCUUAACUUUGGAACUGCAUUUUUAACUACCGGGCUAGAGUGUGUCAGAGGGAGGUGGAAUUCCGCGUGUAGCAGUGAAAUGCGUAGAUAUGCGGAGGAACGCCGAUGGCGAAGGCAGCCUCCUGGGAUAACACUGACGCUCAUGCACGAAAGCGUGGGGAGCAAACAGGAUUAGAUACCCUGGUAGUCCACGCCCUAAACGAUGUCAACUAGCUGUUGGGGCCUUCGGGCCUUGGUAGCGCAGCUAACGCGUGAAGUUGACCGCCUGGGGAGUACGGUCGCAAGAUU